GACGAAGGUGGCGACCGUUGUUCGGAAUCACUGGGCAUAAAGAGCACGUAGGCGGUGAUGUAUGUCGGGUGUGAAAUCCCUCGGCCUAACCGAGGAAUUGCGCCCGAAACUACAUUGCUUGAGGAUGGAAGGGGAGCGUGGAAUUCCUGGUGGAGCGGUGAAAUGCGUUGAUAUCAGGAGGAACACCGGCGGCGAAGGCGACGCUCUGGUCCAUUACUGACGCUGAGGUGCGAAAGCCAGGGGAGCAAACGGG
rnacentral:rRNA from 1 species